rnacentral:rRNA from 1 species
GAUGAACGCUGGCGGCGUGCUUAACACAUGCAAGUCGAACGGAAAGGCUCCUGCUUGCAGGGGUACUCGAGUGGCGAACGGGUGAGUAACACGUGGGUGAUCUGCCCUGCACUUCGGGAUAAGCCUGGGAAACUGGGUCUAAUACCGGAUAGGACGAUGGUUUGGAUGCCAUUGUGGAAAGUUUUUCGGUGUGGGAUGAGCUCGCGGCCUAUCAGCUUGUUGGUGGGGUAAUGGCCUGCCAAGGCGUCGACGGGUAGCCGGCCUGAGAGGGUGUACGGCCACAUUGGGACUGAGAUACGGCCCAGACUCCUACGGGAGGCAGCAGUGGGGAAUAUUGCACAAUGGGCGCAAGCCUGAUGCAGCGACGCCGCGUGGGGGAUGACGGCCUUCGGGUUGUAAACUCCUUUCGCUAGGGACGAAGCGCAAGUGACGGUACCUGGAGAAGAAGCACCGGCUAACUACGUG